ACCAGUUCUGCAGUGGACUGGUUGAACAGUUACAUUUAUUGGAGAGAAUAAAAGUUUUACAUUGUUUUUGCAGUACUCUUUUACUGUCUUGCCACCAUAACAAUAUUUGUAGAAUGUAGAUGUUGUGCUCAUUAUGUUGUUGUUUUGUUUGACAUUUAAAAUUAAUUUUAACUUUUUAAUUUUACGACAAAAUUGUUUGACUGAUGGUACCACAUGCAAAUGUGUGAAAACCUCUAAGAGAAAAACACUACCAUUACUUAUUGACCAAGUGGAAACAGAACCUGAUCUGGUAUAGAAUUAUUUAAAUGAACGCUCAUAUUUGUUUGGCAAAGUUUUAAGACAGAUGCCCUGAUGCAGGCUUGAGACUGGCCUACAGUUUGCACUUGCUUGUGCCCCACAUAGAGCUGCUUUUGUUUGGGGUAUUUAACUCAAUGGCCACCGUAUAUAUGAUAUGGGAUAAUGUUCAUUUCACUUGGAACUGUCUUGAAGACUUCAAAUUGAAAUUUGACAACUUCUACAUGCAAUGAUUCCAACAUGAAUUAAUACUUUUGGAGGUGAUGAGAUUAUCACCUGUGGCUUCUUUCAGUGCUGUCAUGUCUGCCGUAAGAAGAUGUUUCGCUGCACAUGUUUCCCAUAUAUCACAACUCUCAUCCAGAACCAUGGAAAGAUAGUCAAAGUUGAAAUUGCUGUCAUGGUUGGAUGUCGUAACCUGGGCACACCUGGCCUGCAUUCCCAUCAACUUGUAUAAGCAUGGAACAAACAGGGCACAGUGGGAAAAUAAUCCCUACUCUUUACCAUUGACUUGUGCUUGUGUAUCAUGCUUAGUGUAAUUUUCUGGUGGUUUCUCAAUCAACUGUGAGAACAUUUCUGUUUCUUUGUCUUUUGUUUGUCAAACUUGUGAAGAUAUUCUUUUGCGGUUGCUUUCUCUUAGUCUGCACUUUUUUUCUAUUCUUGUGUGGAUUAGAUCUGGUGCUUUUGUUUGUAGCUUUGAUCUCUUUUUGUGGUAGUAAUGUUAGUAUCUCUUGUCCUCCUUUUGCUACUUAUCAUUUUGUUUUUUAUGCAGCUAAGUCUUUUUGUUAUUUCUUCAUAGCACUUACAUUUGUUUGUUUUGAACUUAUUUUGUUCAGUGUGUGUUCCCUGUUGAACUUUGGCAAUCCACUAUGUGGAUGUUAUUUGUUGUUGUUUUGUUAGUGUUUUUUCUCUAUUUUUUUUUUACAAAAUUCUAUUUGUGCAACACCUACUACUUCGUGAAGAUAAGAGAGGGAAAUCAGUGGAAGAUGGUGUUUGGGAAAUUUUGAAUAUUACAUGAUACCUUUGGACUCACUAAUGCAUCUGUUGUGUUCCAAUGUGUUAUCAAUGAUGUACUCAAGGACAUGAGAAGCAAGCUCUAUUUUCUAUAUCAAGGUGAUCUUUUCAAAAGGCCCUG